rnacentral:rRNA from 1 species
AGCGAACGCUGGCGGCAGGCCUAACACAUGCAAGUCGAACGAACUCUUCGGAGUUAGUGGCGGACGGGUGAGUAACACGUGGGAACGUGCCUUUUGGUUCGGAAUAACUCAGGGAAACUUGUGCUAAUACCGAAUGUGCCCUUCGGGGGAAAGAUUUAUUGCCAUUAGAGCGGCCCGCGUCUGAUUAGCUAGUUGGUGAGGUAACGGCUCACCAAGGCGACGAUCAGUAGCUGGUCUGAGAGGAUGACCAGCCACACUGGGACUGAGACACGGCCCAGACUCCUACGGGAGGCAGCAGUGGGGAAUCUUGCGCAAUGGGCGAAAGCCUGACGCAGCCAUGCCGCGUGAAUGAUGAAGGUCUUAGGGUUGUAAAAUUCUUUCACCGGGGACGAUAAUGACGGUACCCGGAGAAGAAGCCCCGGCUAACUUCGUG